GAGAAGCAAUACCGCGAGGUGGAGCAAAACUUCAAAAAUAGGUCUCAGUUCGGACUGUAGGCUACAACUCGCCUACACGAAGUUGGAAUUGCUAGUAAUCGUGGAUCAGCAUGCCACGGUGAAUACGUUCCCGGGUCUUGUACACACCGCCCGUCACACCAUGGGAGCUGGUAACACCCGAAGUCAGUAGUCUAACCGCAAGGAGGACGCUGCCGAAGGUGGGAUUAGCGACUGGGGUGAAGUCGUAACAAGGUAUC
rnacentral:rRNA from 1 species